GCUGGAGUAGCUCAGUUAGUAGAGCACGUCCUUGGUAAGGACGGGGUCACGGUUGCAAUUCCCGUCUCCAGCU
rnacentral:tRNA from 1 species